UUGAUGCUUGAUAAGCGACAUGGAAGCUUGGGAAAGAAGCGGGUCAAUCGGGACUAACGCGCACGGGAAGCAUAUUCGAAUGUUAGGUGAAUGUCAAGAGUGCCCGGAUGAAGAUCAAGCUCGAUGAGGAACCGAACACACGAUAUUAAAGCUUCCGCAUGGCGUUACGUCGUAACCUUUAAACGACGAACUCAAUUACAUCAUGUUGUACUAUUUUUUUAAAAAAAUUGUAAAAGUUUUAACUAACCUUAAUUAUCUAAAUUACAUGUCUGUUUCGUA
rnacentral:lncRNA from 1 species